UGUUGGUAUACCGCACUGUAUACAUAGUUUGUAUCAGUUGCUAUUGGAACAACCACGAGGUUACUCGGAGACCUUGGUUAAUUUUCCAAGUUUUUCUUCGUCAUCCCCUGGAAUACUGAUUGUAUAACGUGUGCUAUAUUUGUCCUGGUGACGAUUAAAACUGAAGAAAACCAAGGGCCACGUGUUGGUGCAUAAAACUAUGGUGACUAAGAAACCACCCCGUCUGAAUAUCUCCUGGCGCCCUAAAUUAACAAUACGGAGGGAUUCAACGUAAUAUAAAUUGUUUUAGUUCAUCCUAAUUUACCAAUUUGAAUAUGUAAAGUUAGUAAGUAAUAAUUUUAGGCGACGGUGGCAAAUAUAUAUCUGUUAAACUGGAGGAUUUAAGAAAGAAUUUCUAGAAGCGAUGCCCUAAUGGUAUUUUUGCAAUUUAUGUAAGCAACAAAUUGAAGUCAUGGACGAUGGAACAAAGGAGGUUCCCAGGAUUUUUUAGUUUUCUCAUGACAUACGAGUGAUCAAAGAGAAUCUGAUGUGAAAGAAGUGAAACCAAAGUCAUGGACGAUGGAACAAAGGAGGUUCCCAGGAUUUUUUAGUUUUCUCAUGACAUACGAGUGAUCAAAGAGAAUCUGAUGUGAAAGAAGUGAAACCAAAGGUAUUAUGAGAAGGUGCUCUAAAAUAUAAAAGGUUUAAUUUGGAUUUUAUACAACCACUGUUACAAGAAGAUUAAGGAUGAAGUCCAUUCUAUACAUUGCUUCAAGGAAAUAUCAAGUACAGCCAAUGUCAGGAAGAAUAUAUUAAACUUCAUUUACAUAAGAUUGGUGCAGUGGCAGUGUAUUUGUACUGCAGUGGUAGCGGUAAUUUCUAAAUGAACCCAACUUUCUGCACUACACACACAAAUACACUUCAACUGUACCAAUGUUUAUGUGAAUGAGCUAUUAGUAUCUGUGUCCCAGAUAUUAAAAAUUACUCAUUUAAAUUUAAAAAUUAAAAUAAUAAGUAAUCA